rnacentral:lncRNA from 1 species
CUUCCAGUUUCCCUUUAUUCUUACAUGAUAAGUUGUAAAAAGGUUCUUUGCGUGUUUCCGUGAUUUUAUGCCGCACUUCUGCAUAAUUUCACAUAUGAUAAUGCAUAAAAAAGACAUCAUAGAGAUAAUCAAACACAAAAGUUGAAGAAAAUCUGGCAAUACAAAGGCAAAAAUUGAAAAAACGACGAAAAGACAAAACAACCGUCUAUGAUACAAAGCAUAAAACACCAAAUACUGAGCG